AUGACAACUCUGCGCAGUGGAUCACUCGACUCACGGGUCGAUGAAGAACGUAGCUUGCUGCGAUAAUCGGUGUGAAUUGCAGGACACAUUGAACACCGAACUUUCGAACGCGCAUAGCGGCCUCCGGGACUGGAGGCCUCGCCUGUUUGAGGGUCGUAUGAAGCCCAGACUCUAAAGAGUCAAUUGGCCGCAUCGGAUGCGAACCCGUCGGCUCAAGUGCGAAAGGAAUUCUCCCGAGCCGUGGGAGCAGUCUCGAGUGGCCGGUGGCCGGGGGAGCCUUUCCCCCGCAGGGCCACUCUCCGGUUCGUCCGGCUGCUGGCUUGAGGCUUUCCCCAAGAAUCGGGAGGAGGUACCUUAAAGACUUUGAAUUUUCUUGAAACAACCUCAGAUAGACGAGACUACCCGCUGAAUUUAAGCAUAUUAAUAAGCGGAGGAAAAGAAAACAAUAGCGAUUCCCCUAGUAGCGGCGAGCGAACAGGGAGAAGCCCAGCUCCAAAUCCUUGCCUCGAGCAGGGAAAUGUGGCGUUUGGGCGAGUCGGGAGUGUGGAUCUAGAGUGCGCGGGAAGUUCCCGCGAUCAGGGCAUUUUCCUGAGAGGGUGUGAGGCCCGUUCUCGCGCUCCGUGGUUCCCUCUUGGUUCGCCCGCGAGUCGGGUUGCUUGGGAGUGCAGUUUUAAGACGGAUGGUAAAUUCCACCCAAGGCUAAAUACGACCGUGAGACCGACAGCAAACAAGUACCGUGAUAGAAAAUUGAAAAGAACUUUGAAGAGAGUUCAAUAGAACGUGAAACUGCUCAGAAGGAAAUGGGUGGGCCCUCGAAGUCCAGUGUCGGGGGCGUUUUGGCCCGGUGUCGUCUGCUUCCGCCGAAGCGAGCGAAGGAGCGCCCCUCACGUGGGGGCGCCGUCCUCGCGCCCAGGAGGCGGUUCAGCCCGGGUGCACUCGUCCCCUUCCAGAGGACGCCGCACCCCGUUCGUUUUUGUGGGCCGUGAGGGCGGAUACUCGUAUGUGGACUCCGAACUUUUUUGGAUGUUCCGAUCUCUUCCGCCCGGGUCCGCAGCGGACGGUGGCUUCCGACUCGUCGCCUCCUAAUUAUGUACUCUUGGUGGUGCCGGUGGGUUCUCGGGUAGCCGUGCGCACGCUCUCCGGGCGUGGCCGGUGGCCCUCCUCGCCGGCGCCGCUUUUAUUUUUUCCCUUUGGAGGCCGACGGUGUUGCGGCGCAGUAGGUCGGUGCCCCACCCGACCCGUCUUAAAACACGGACCAAGGAGUCUAACAUGUGUGCGAGUCACUGGGUCUCGAAGAACCCACGGGCGCAAACAAAUUGAUUCUUUCUUCGUAGUCGGGAUCCCCCGCAAAUAAGCGAGGGGCGCACCGACGGCCUGCCACACUCCUAGGAGUGGAGGCGGAUCCUGAGCACACACGUUGGGACCCGAAAGAUGGUGAACUAUGCCUAGACAGGACGAAGACAGGGGAAACCCUGUUGGAAGUCCGAAGCGGUUCUGACGUGCAAAUCGAUCGUCUGAUCCGCGUGUAGGGGCGAAAGACUAAUCAAACCAUCUAGUAGCUGGUUCCCUCAGGAUAGCUGGCGCUCGAUCGAAAUUCAGUCACGGUCGGUAAAGCGAAUGAUUAGAGGCCUUGGGGCCGAAACGACCUCAACCUAUUCUCAUACUUUCAAUGGUCGUAGAGUCCUUUCUCGAUCGAAGGUUGGACGGUGGAUGAGAGUGCCUAGUGGGCCACUUUUGGUAAGCAGAACUGGCGCUGUGGAAUGAACCAAACGCCGGGUUAAGGCGCCCGAUGCAGAGACGCUCAUGAGACCCCAUAAAAGGUGUUGGUUGCUCUAGACAGCAGG